rnacentral:rRNA from 1 species
GACGAACGCUGGCGGCGUGCUAAUACAUGCAAGUAGAACGCUGAAGGAGGAGCUUGCUCUUCUGGAUGAGUUGCGAACGGGUGAGUAACGCGUAGGUAACCUGCCUGGUAGCGGGGGAUAACUAUUGGAAACGAUAGCUAAUACCGCAUAAGAGUAGAUGUCGCAUGACAUUUGCUUAAAAGGUGCAAUUGCAUCACUACCAGAUGGACCUGCGUUGUAUUAGCUAGUUGGUGAGGUAACGGCUCACCAAGGCAACGAUACAUAGCCGACCUGAGAGGGUGAUCGGCCACACUGGGACUGAGACACGGCCCAGACUCCUACGGGAGGCAGCAGUAGGGAAUCUUCGGCAAUGGACGGAAGUCUGACCGAGCAACGCCGCGUGAGUGAAGAAGGUUUUCGGAUCGUAAAGCUCUGUUGUAAGCUAGAAGACACGAGUGUGAGAGUGGAAAGUUCACACUGUGACGGCUAUCUCUA